AAUUUUGGACAAUGGGGGAAACCCUGAUCCAGCCAUCCCGCGUGUAUGAUGAAGGCCUCCGGGUGGUAAAGUACUUUUGGCAGAGAAGAAAAGGUAUCUCCUAAUACGAGAUACUGCUGACGGUAUCUGCAGAAUAAGAACAGGCUAACGACGUUACAACAGCCGCGGUAAUACGUAGGGUGCAAGCGUUAAUCGGAAUUACUGGGCGUAAAGCGUGUGUAGGCGGUUCGGAACGAAAGAUGUGAAAACCCAGGGCUCAACCUUGGAACUGCAUUUUUAACUGCCGAGCUAGAGUAUGUCAGAGGGGGGUAGAAUUCCACGUGUAGCAGUGAAAUGCGUAGAUAUGUGGAGGAAUACCGAUGGCGAAGGCAGCCCCCUGGGAUAAUACUGACGCUCAGACACGAAAGCGUGGGGAGCAAACA
rnacentral:rRNA from 1 species